UGGGGAAUAUUGCACAAUGGAGGAAACUCUGAUGCAGCGACGCCGCGUGAAGGAAGAAGGUCUUCGGAUUGUAAACUUCUGUUGUCAGGGACGAUAAUGACGGUACCUGACGAGAAAGCCACGGCUAACUACGUGCCAGCAGCCGCGGUAAAACGUAGGUGGCAAGCGUUGUCCGGAAUUACUGGGUGUAAAGGGAGCGCAGGCGGAUUGGUAAGUUGGAGGUGAAAUUCAUGGGCUCAACCCAUGACCUGCCUUCAAAACUACCAGUCUUGAGUGGUGCAGAGGUAGGCGGAAUUCCCGGUGUAGCGGUGGAAUGCGUAGAUAUCGGGAGGAACACCAGUGGCGAAGGCGGCCUACUGGGCACUAACUGACGCUGAGGCUCGAAAGCAUGGGUAGCAAACAGG
rnacentral:rRNA from 1 species